UACGAAGGGGACUAGCGUUGUUCGGAUUUACUGGGCGUAAAGCGCACGUAGGCGGAUCGUUAAGUCGGGGGUGAAAUCCUGGAGCUCAACUCCAGAACUGCCUUCGAUACUGGCGAUCUUGAGUCCGGAAGAGGUGAGUGGAACUCCUAGUGUAGAGGUGGAAUUCGUAGAUAUUGGGAAGAACACCAGUGGCGAAGGCGGCUCACUGGUCCGGUACUGACGCUGAGGUGCGAAAGCGUGGGGAGCAAACAGG
rnacentral:rRNA from 1 species